UUUACGGGGCUACCCCAUUGCCAUCCUGGCCCUAAUCAACCUCCCCCGGCCCGCGUUAGGAAGGCGUGGGGGCGGCGAGGGUCGUGGCGUUGAGAGAAGUUAGGGAAGGUGCAGCCGUAGGAGGCAGCGGAGGAUGCAUAGCUCACGCCCACCGCCUUUCUCCCCGGCUGGCGAAGUUGGGAGCGGGACGGGCCGCCUAUCUUGGCCCGGAGGGCUCGGAGCCCGACUCUGAGCAGGGGCAGGCCGGGUACUCGCCAGGACUGGAGUUGAGGUUGCUAAGGCGACGAUGGAGCAGUCCCCGCACUAUCCUCUGGCCGCUGUGAAUCCGCGUGGGACCGUGUGGAAUCCCAGCAUCCGCCCCCAACCAGCUCACCGUGGUGUGGAUGGGAAUGAUCCCUCUCAAAGGCAGCAAGGCCUCCAACAACCAAAAAGCUUUAAGCACCUACAAAAUAAAUAAACAAGUAGGGAAAGUCCUCUCA